rnacentral:rRNA from 1 species
AUCAACUUUCGAUGGUAGGAUAGAGGCCUACCAUGGUGGUAACGGGUAACGGGGUGUUAGGGCACGACACCGGAGAGGGAGCCUGAGAAACGGCUACCACAUCCAAGGAAGGCAGCAGGCGCGCAAAUUACCCAAUUCCGACAUGGGGAGGUAGUGACAAUAAAUAACAAUACAGGGUUCUUUUGGAUCUUGUAAUUGGAAUGAGUACAAUUUAAAUCUCUUAACGAGGAACAAUUGGAGGGCAAGUCUGGUGCCAGCAGCCGCGGUAAUUCCAGCUCCAAUAGCGUAUAUUAAAGUUGUUGCAGUUAAAAAGCUCGUAGUUGAAUUUCGGGAUCAAGGAAUCGGUCAUGCCUCGGUAUGUACUGGUUUUAUUGGUUCUCACCUUCUAAAGAACCAUGAUGUCAUUCAUUUGAUGUUAUGGGGAAUUAGGACUGUUACCUUGAAAAAAUUAGAGUGUUUAAAGCAGGCUUACGCUUGAAUACAUUAGCAUGGAAUAAUGAAAUAGGACAUCAGAUCCUAUUUUGUUGGUUUCUAGGAUCGAUGUAAUGAUUAAUAGGGAUAGUUGGGGGCAUUAGUAUUCAAUUGUCAGAGGUGAAAUUCUUGGAUUUAUUGAAGACUAACUACUGCGAAAGCAUUUGCCAAGGAUGUUUUCAUUAAUCAAGAACGAAAGUUAGGGGAUCGAAGACGAUCAGAUACCGUCGUAGUCUUAACCAUAAACUAUGCCGACUAGGGAUCGGAUGAUGUUAAUUUUAUAAUGACUCAUUCGGCACCUUACGGGAAACCAAAGUGUUUGGGUUC